AAUCAUUUAAGAAAUAUGCACAGAUCAAGCACUAUUUACAAGCCAAAACUGCUCUAAACAAAUAUGUGGGUGGAUUUUGAUGUCAGAGGACAUCAGGGAAUGGACUUUUUCUCUGCAGGGAGCGCUAUUAUGGAAUGUGGACUAAUUUUUUGGGCUAGAAGUGACGGUUUAAACUCAUUGGAUUCUGACGGCACCCAUUCACUGCAGAGGAUCCACUGGUGAGCAAGUGAUGCGAUGCUGAAUUUCUCCAAAUCAGCUCUGAUGAAGAAACAAACUCUUCUAGAAACAAACUAAUCUACAUCUUUGAUGGCCUGAGGGCAGAGCAGCAGGUCAGGCCACCGAUGGGAGGCAGUCCUGGGCCACACCUCCACGGACCAGAAGCCCGUACAAAUCUCUGAACGUUCGUCAAAUGUCAGUUCUGUGGCCUUGGACUUACACGGCCGCUCUGACAUACAGAUUUACCCAGAGCUGCUUACAUUGGCAAGACCCAGACCUUCUGAGAGCCCAAAACCAAAUCAAAAUAUGGAUUAAUGCUGUAUUUUUUUGAAGGCCGUAUCUGCGCUAAUGCUUGCACGUCAUGCUGAAAGAUGGAUCCAGUGACAGUCUUAAACAUUUAUAAUGGUGUAUUUGCCUUGGAUCAUUUUGUCUAGAUGGUUUUAAAAGAUUCAUGUUUGCUUCUGCAGACUAUUACAGGAGCAUCUCAAUGACACCGUCAGUAAAUCCACAAAAUCGUGUUUGUGGUUUCCUCAUGUCAAAUUCAAAAUACUCCAGUUCAUCUUCACUCCUUGAGAUAUUUGCAGUCGUUUUCACAUGCCACAUCAGUCUUGUCUUUCCUUUUUUCUUUUUUUAAUAUAAAAUGUUUUUAAAUAUUUGAAGCCUAUUUUCUCGGGUUGUACUGUCACAUUAUAAC
ensembl:lncRNA